AAAGGAAUAGACGGGGACCCGCACAAGCAGCGGAGCAUGUGGUUUAAUUCGAAGCAACGCGAAGAACCUUACCAGGUCUUGACAUCCUCUGACAACCUAAGAGAUUAGGCGUUCCCUUCGGGGACAGAGAAACAGGUGGUGCAUGGUUGUCGUCAGCUCGUGUCGUGAGAUGUUGGGUUAAGUCCCGCAACGAGCGCAACCCCUGUGAUUAGUUGCCAUCAUUUAGUUGGGCACUCUAAUCAGACUGCCGUGGAUAACACGGAGGAAGGUGGGGAUGACGUCAAAUCAUCAUGCCCCUUAUGACCUGGGCUACACACGUGCUACAAUGGUCUGAACAGAGGGCUGCGAAGGAGCAAUCUGGAGCCAAUCCCUUAAAACAGAUCUCAGUUCGGAUUGCAGGCUGCAACUCGCCUGCAUGAAGUUGGAGUUGCUAGUAAUCGCGAAUCAGAAUGUCGCGGUGAAUGCGUUCCCGGGUCUUGUACACACCGCCCGU
rnacentral:rRNA from 1 species